GAACACACCAUCCGUUUGUUUCCUGUUCCUGAACUCUCUAAAUAAGUGUACUCUUAAAAUGAAAUAGAUAGAUGUUUCAAAGUUAGCGAAAGCAAGAAGGAACGUUCCAGUGCAGUCUAGUGCAGGAAUAGAAAACAAGCCUCAUGUCUACUCUCACUACCAAGAUGCGGAAGAGAAGGGACUCGCUCAUUGGUUAUUGAAGCAACAAAGGUGGGGUACAUGGGGAGCGCUGUGUAACGCACAGGUAAAGAGGCGUCAUUUCGUGCUGAACAAUUUACUCGAAUGCAUCAGUUAAAGUAGUACAGCGAGCUUGAGCGUUAAGACAGUCGACGAUCAAUCAAAAAUCAAAUUCUGAAGAAGUGCAAAUCUCGGCAAGACAAUCAAAAUCGAGUCAAGUGCCGGGGGUAGAAAACGGCGUGGCAUACACCAUUAAAACGGGUAGAAUCGACGGUCUUUCUCGUUUGGAAUCAAUCCUUGAAAUCGACAUCGAACUUUGGGCGUGAACACGAGCGUGUCGGCCCGGGGCUCGUGGCUUUACACAACGCUUAGAAGGGUCACCUUGACGACGACCAGCCUCCUUCUCGGUCUUGUAGAUCCUUGGCGGUUUCUCAUGUCCGGGCUCAUCUUGUCCAGGCCGGGCACACCCUCCGAUAUCUGAGCAACCAGUAUCAGCCACUAGAAUCUCCUUUGGAUCUCUCAAUACGUCGUCAACCUUGUUUGAGCUGUCAUCAAAAUUGCAGCCACUUGAUCGAUAGCUUUAACGUCAACAAUCUUUGUCCUAGUACAAGUCAGAAUAUAAUACCGUCAAUAUCUAUUAUGCCAAAUAUAACAUCAAAAGAUGCCGCGGAAUUGCAAUCCUCAGGCGAGCGAUUGAUGAAAGUGAGAAAAGUCGAAGAGAAGAUGAAGAUAAUUAAUUGGGAAGCCAAGAAGUUAUCAAUACAAAAGUGUAUUCAAUCAUUGAUGCAUGCCUGCCAUUGCAUAGAUGCCAACUGUCGCCUACCAAGUUGUCAGAAGAUGAAGCGAGUGGUAAUACAUAUGAAGAAUUGCAAGAGAAAGAGGCAAGAGAAUGGUGAUUGUCCUAUAUGCAAACAACUAAUUGCGUUGUGUUGUUAUCACGCAAAACAUUGCCAAAAGAUCAAGUGUCUCAUUCCGUUCUGUUUUUAUAUUAAGCGCAAAAUAAAGCAGCAGCAAUUGCAGCAACGAUCACAGCAAACGCAACUGCUUAGGUCAGUAGAAUCUUCGACUUUUUGUGCAUAUAUUAUUGCGAUAAUGCAAAAAUAUAUCAUCACAGUCUCAAUGGUCGAGUUGGCUAAGACACCCGUACCGGAUAUUCGUGAGGUCCCAGGUUCGAACCUUGGCUGAGAUUCGGUGAUGAACAUCUGCAAAGCUAGAAGUUGCCAUCCAAGAAUGGCUCCAUCGUUCAGGUGACAGAAUAAGAAGCACGAUUGCAAAUAAUAAACAAUAGGAUUUUUAUUAUGCAGUAAAUAAUAAUAUUUUUAUUAUAUAUAUAGGGAAGUUUGGAGAGUUAUGAGCCAUGGAGAGUUGUGAGCCAGCACUCAAAGUCGGCCACAUUUGAAAUUUUAACAUAUUCCAACUACGGUAAAAUGUUUCUCUCCAUGCGAUCUUACUUUUUAACUAGCACUCGUCAACACACUAUCUAAGUGUCUCUCCAGAUUUUGAUUUUUAAUUUUCUUCAAAAAGUUUUUUUGAUCAUUUGUAUUUGUGAUCUUACUUAUUUUUUCGCGCUAAUUGCGAAAAUAAAUAUAUUACAAAAUUAUUCCUAGUGAACUACCGUUUCGAUGCACAAAAUUUUGCAUGAACAUUCGAUGUGUUAAUUACUAUGCGGCUAUUUUGCUAAUGUAGCAUUUGGGGAAUUGUGAGCCAUCACUUUUGUGGAGUUGUGAGCUACUACAUUUUUACUAUUUUGUAAACUUUAGUUGGCAUCUUUCAUGUGUUACAUCCAGCCUUAAGGAAAGGAAGGCAGGAAGGAUGCAACAAAAACUCUUUUAUUCUCGUGACCGCACUAGUGGGACGUGCGGCACGAGC